rnacentral:rRNA from 1 species
CAGUAGCCGCGGUAAUACGAAGGGUGCAAGCGUUACUCGGAAUUACUGGGCGUAAAGCGUGCGUAGGUGGUGGUUUAAGUCCGUUGUGAAAGCCCUGGGCUCAACCUGGGAAUUGCAGUGGAUACUGGGUCACUAGAGUGUGGUAGAGGAUAGUGGAAUUUCCGGUGUAGCAGUGAAAUGCGUAGAGAUCGGAAGGAACAUCUGUGGCGAAGGCGACUAUCUGGGCCAACACUGACACUGAGGCACGAAAGCGUGGGGAGCAAACAGGAUUAGAGACCCCUGUAGUCCCUGUCUCUUAUAC